AUUGAACGCUGGCGGCAGGCCUAACACAUGCAAGUCGAACGAGGGGCGGAGGGGUGAGUAAUCUCGGAGAAAGUGCGUGAUGGAGGGGGAUAACUACUGGAAACGGUAGAUAAUCCCGCAAAACAUCGGAUGCCCCCAGAUGGGAUUCGAUAGUAGGUGGGGUAAAGGCUCACCUAGGCGACGAUCCCUAGCUGGUCUGAGAGGAUGAGCAGCCACACUGGAACUGAGACACGGUCCAGACUCCUACGGGAGGCAGCAGUGGGGAAUAUUGCACAAUGGGCGCAAGCCUGAUGCAGCCAUGCCGCGUGUAUGAAGAAGGCCUUCGGGUUGUAAAGUACUUUCAGCGGGGAGGCGUUACCCGCAGAAGAAGCACCGGCUAACUCCGUGCCAGCAGCCGCGGUAAUAC
rnacentral:rRNA from 1 species